rnacentral:lncRNA from 1 species
UAGACUGCUACCAAAAUGAAGAAACAUAAGCAAAGCAUGGAACGAACCAAUGAUUGUUUCAAGCUUGGGGGAAUUCGUAAUUCAUUACAAUUUACAUGUGUGUCGUACUCUCAAUCCCUUUGAUGAAUGAAAUACUUUUUUUGAGCAUUUGCAAUCGAAAAUGAUUGAUCCUUGCUUGGUUAGGGGUAUACUGUGGGUGAGAAAAAACAAUGAUAUUCUCUCAUCUUUGUUCUGUUUUAUGUUAUCCAGGUUAUUUUGGUGGUUGCUAUGUCAGUGCUCUGUUGGGUGCCAAAAUAAUUAGAUUCAAAUUUUCGGUUUUUCUUUUUUGUUAAUUAUGGUUUUUGAU